rnacentral:rRNA from 1 species
AGGAUCAUUAAAGAAAUGCGGCGGAGGGGCCCAAAAGGCCCCCGAGCCAACACUUUCUACCCUGUCUUUUCGAUACCUCUACCUCCUCCCCGGCCCCCGGGCCGGGAUGGCUACUUCAAAAAAACCUUGCAGUUUACAGUCAAUUCAGUACUUUGUAACAAAAUUACAACUUUCAACAAUGGAUCUCUUGGCUCUGGCAUCGAUGAAGAACGCAGCGAAAUGCGAUAAGUAGUGUGAAUUGCAGAAUUCAGCGAAUCAUCGAAUCUUUGAACGCACAUUGCGCCCUUCGGUUAUUCCUUAGGGCAUGCCUGUUCGAGCGUCAUUUCAACCUUCAAGCCUGGCUUGGUGUUGGGCGCUGUCCCGCCUCCGCGCGCGGACUCGCCCCAAAUGAAUUGGCAGUCGCACCCUCCGAGCCGCGAGCGCAGCACAAGUCGCGCGGGCGGUACUCUGGGGGGACGGACGCUCCACAAGACCCUUUCUCAGUCUUGACCUCGGAUCAGGUAGGGAUACCCGCUGAACUUAAGCAUAUCAAUAAGCGGAGGAAAAGAAACCAACAGGGAUUGCCCC